CCCUUAGAUGUUCUGGGCCGCACGCGUGCUACACUGAGUAAUUCAAUGGGUAAGGGAACGCUAGAGCAUUACCUAAUCUUGAAAUUUGCUCGUGAUGGGGAUCGACGGUUGCAAUUUUCCGUCGUGAACGAGGAAUACCUUGUAGGCGCAUGUCAUCAUCAUGCGCCGAAUACGUCCCUGCCCUUUGUACACGCCGCCCGUCGCUCCUACCGAUUGAGUGAUCCGGUGAGGCUCUGGGACCUGGACGGAAAGAGCGUUUCGCUUGUUCUGUUUGGGAAACUUGGUCGAACCUUAUCAUUUAGAGGAAGGAGAAGUCGUAACA
rnacentral:rRNA from 1 species